AGCGCCCUCCAGCUGAGACAUCACGUGUCUGAAAUAGCGCCUGUGUUACAGCCCACAAAAUGGUUGGCUCUGUUUUCACGCGGCGCACCGGAUCCUCCCUGCCAGGGCUUUACUGACUGGGGCCCCUCUGCCCGCGCUUGGGUGCUGCACCCGCUCUGCAGCAGUGCCACGGAGGGGAGGAGGCCCCCGAAUCCGCAGCACCGCCGGGUGCCCAGCGUGCGCCGUGGGGCCCAUCGCUUCAGGGAGGGGGGGAAGAGCAGGCGGUGGGCGUACCUUUGGGGAAGGAGGUGCCAUUCUUGACAUAUCCCAUCUGCUCUGUGCUUACUUACCAGGGUUUGGAGCAUUUGAGGCACUGCCAGAGGAAUUAUUUGUGUUUCCAUUUCCACUUCUUCAGAUGUUUCUGCCCUGAUCUCUGCCUUUAGAAGUGCGACGCUUGUCGGUCGUGGGUGCGGCCUGCUGCGAGAUAGCCAUUCCCACUACACAACCAAGAUGGU